rnacentral:rRNA from 1 species
UACGAAGGGGGCUAGCGUUGUUCGGAAUUACUGGGCGUAAAGCGUGCGCAGGCGGCUUCUCAAGUCAGGGGUGAAAGCCCAGAGCUCAACUCUGGAAUUGCCUUUGAGACUGAGUGGCUUGAGUACGAGAGAGGUGAGUGGAAUUCCCAGUGUAGAGGUGAAAUUCGUAGAUAUUCGGAAGAACACCAGUGGCGAAGGCGGCUCACUGGACCGUUGUUGACGCUGAGGUGCGAAAGCGUGGGGAGCAAACAGG